CCAGGAAUAAGUCCCGGCUAACUACGUGCCAGCAGCCGCGGUAAAACGUAGGGGACAAGCGUUAUCCGGAUUCACUGGGCGUAAAGAGCGUUGAGGCGGUUCCGUAAGUUGGGCGUGAAAGCUCCGGGCUUAACUCGGAGAUGUCGUUCAAUACUGCGGGGCUUGAGGACAGCGGAGGAAGGUGGAAUUCCCGGUGUAGUGGUGAAAUGCGUAGAUAUCGGGAGGAACACCCGUGGCGAAGGCGGCCUUCUGGGCUGUUCCUGACGCUGAAGGCGAAAGCUAGGGGAGCGAACGGGAUUAGAUACCCCGGUAGUCCUAGCUGUAAACGAUGGAUGCUGGGUGUGGGGGGUGUAAAUUCCCUCUGUGCCGAAGCAAACGCGUUAAGCAUCCCGCCUGGGGACUACGGCCGCAAGGCUAAAACUCAAACGAAUUGACGGGGGCCCGCACAAGCAGCGGAGCGUGUGGUUUAAUUCGAUGCUACACGAAGAACCUUACCUGGGUUUGACAUGCACGUGGUAGGGAACCGAAAGGGGACCGACCUUCGGGAGCGUGCACAGGUGCUGCAUGGCUGUCGUCAGCUCGUGCCGUGAGGUGUCGGGUUAAGUCCCGUAACGAGCGCAACCCUUGCCCUUAGUUACAAGUGUCUAAGGGGACUGCCCGGGACAACUGGGAGGAAGGUGGGGAUGACGUCAAGUCAGCAUGGCCUUUAUAUCCAGGGCUACACACACGCUACAAUGGCCGGUACAAUAGGUUGCGAAGUCGUGAGGCGGAGCCAAUCCUCAAAGCCGGUCUCAGUUCGAAUUGCAGUCUGCAACUCGACUGCAUGAAGCUGGAGUUGCUAGUAAUCGC
rnacentral:rRNA from 1 species